rnacentral:sRNA from 2 species
AAUUACCAGCGGCCGAAUCCCCGCCAUGCAGAAGGCGGGGUACGGGGGAAUCUCUAUCCCGAGCGGGGUGAAUCCACGCGUUUUGAGGAGGUGAGGGCAGGACGCGUGGAAGGGUGUACCCUCUACCCGAACCCAUCAGCUAACCCCGGAGGCCCGAGGAGGGGAAAG